CAAGUAUUUUGCCCACUUUUACUUAUUAAUUUUUUUGGUAAGGGGGACUGAACUCAGGGGCACUUAACCACUGAGCCACAUCCCCAGCCUUUUUUUGUAUCUUAUUUAGAGACAGGGUCUCACUGAGUUGCUUAAGGCCUUGCUGAGUUGCUGAGGCAUGUUUUUUCACUCUUACUGGUGUCUUUUGAAACAGAAAUUCUUGAUUACAAUGAAGUGUAAUAGUUUAGUGUUUAUAUAACACUUUUUGCAUUGAAUUUAAGAAAGCUUUGGCUGUGAGGUUAAUAGGAUUUUUACAGGCAAAUGUGAGAGAAGAAUAUGGCAAAAAAAAAAAAAAAAAAGCUUUCUCUAAAGCAAGCCUGGGCACAGGCCUGUUUGAAUUCAUGAUGGGCAUUGGAAGGCCUGGAGUGGAGAGGCCUGUGAAGGGAGUGGGGUGAGGCAAAGCUGGAAUAUUAGAAGGAAGGCAUACUGCAAAGGACUUAAACUGAGCCCUGGAGUAUGGACAUUAUUCUGGAAGAAGCAGAGGGAUUGCCAGAAUAUAUAUAAGCUCAAAAUGAACUCAGUUGUCUUUCUCACCCUUAAACUUGCCCCUCAUCCUUCGUUGCUGUGUUUUAACAUCACUGUCAGACAGCUUUGGCUUCCUGGGCCAGAAUCCUGGGUAUCUUCCUUCCCUCUCUCUGCAUUCAACUGGUCACCAAGUCUCAUAGAUAUUAUAGUCUAAAUGUCUCCAACAACGUCUCCUUUUUCAUCUCCAACUGCUACUACCUUUGUUUAAGAUCUUAUAGUCUCAUAUCUGAAAUAAGUCAUCUGCUUCCAGUUCUUUUCACAUAGUUAGUUCCUGUUCUACCUAGUACAACCAUUCUAAAUUGACUGUUCUUCCUAUUUUCAGCUUUAGAAACUUAAAUGGUUAUUCAGUGCACUUAAGAUAAACUAAAAACCCCUUGACUUGUCCUUUCUGAUUUGCUUAUUCAUUUUUCCUGACUUAACUCAAGCCUCAUCUCCUCCAGAUGCCCAUCCUUAAUCACCCUUCCCAAGGCCACAGUGAGGUGAGUCAUAUUUGUUCCCCCAGGGGGCUGUGAGAUCUCCGAGUGGGAACUUUGCUGUAUUUAGACUUUUACUGUGUAUAGUACUGGCAUGUGAAUUCCAAGACCCUUGAUGACUGGGCUCCAGCUUUGUGCUCCUCAUUUCCCGCACCUGAAACCUGGGUUCCAGCCACUCUUGGUUCUUUUUCUGCAUCAGUGUAUGUUGCACAGUGCAUGUCUCUGUGAUUAUGGUCACUACCCUCUUCUGCUUUUUUUUGCCUGGAAAAUGAUUGUUUUUCCUUUCCAAAUCUAUUUCGUG
rnacentral:lncRNA from 1 species